rnacentral:lncRNA from 1 species
UAGAAUCUGUCAAUGAUGAAAUUUUAUUAGUGACUUUGAUCCCUUUGAUUUCGUUAUAUUUGGAAUUGGAAGUUUAAUCGUAUAUCACCAUUUGAAUCAAUUAAGAUAUUCCCACAAUUAUGUUUUCUAGAUAUGAUGAGUAGGUGCUUCCAGAUGAAGGUAAGAAAAGUUUAAACUUUCGUACUGAUCUUUAAACUUCUUUUGUGGCCUUUGUUGUUAAUUUUGGUACCUUCUUCAAAUCCAAUUCUGUUUUUUUUCUAUGAACCUUCGAUCACAUAUGAUCGUUGGCUUUUGCAGAAACUAAUUGUUCCUGUUGACCUUUGGAAAGCAAUCAGAGACAGACAAUUUGUCAAUAUUUUAUCUUCCAUUGUGGUUUUUGAUCUCUGUUUGUUGUUGUAGACAAGGGAAUCACCACUAACUCAAGGAUCGAUAACACAUCUAUAUGAUCUUUUGGUGAAUGGUAACAGUCUCCAAAUUCUCUAACACAUUCUCCAAAACCAUUUUCAAUAUCAAUAUCAUAAUCUCUGUUUCUUGUGGUUUUUGAUCUUUGUUUGUUAUUAUAGAGGUGAAAAUAUAUUUGCUUCUAAGUAUUCAAAAGAAACAACAAUUCUCCUAUUGGAUCUGAUUUUUACUAUAUAUAAAUCACACAUCUGUUUGCUAUUGCUGAGAAUAUUCACACAUGUGUUUCUUAGGAGAUUUGGAAAUAUAGAUAAGACUAGAGAUGUAUGAGCCUUUUCCUUGAUUGAGUUUGAAUCUCUUUGGAUUAAAACCGGAAAAUUUAUCUAUAAAAUUAUGACAGUAUGAGUUUUGGAACUUAGAAAGAGUAAUGGGCUUCCAUAUAUCAAUGUUUCUUCUCUAGAUACUCUUUAACAGUUGUUUUGGGUCUUUAAAAAGUAUAUACUUGCUAUGAUUUGUGCAGGUAGCUCGGAAUCUUGGAAAAAGUCUGCGUACAUUUCAUCCAACGAUUAGAGAGCAGACUUUUGUUUUUUUUUUAUCUCAAGACUUUAAGAAAAAAAUGAGGUUAGUUUGUAUAUUGGCCAACUAUUUUUGAUUGUUUGGAAAAACUUUGCGUACAUAUCAGCUAACGAUUAGAGAGCACAGGUUUGUUUUUUUUAUCUUAACACUUUGAGCAUGGUGGUAGCAGUCUCUGCCUUUUGGAUUGCUCUUUUGCAGGCUGCAGUUAUUUCGCGAAGCAGUACAUGGUUGGUGAGUAAUGAGUUUGUCAUUUUCAUUUUUGCUUAUUACUAUUCUCAAUUAGCCCAUAUGAAUAAUGUAUUUCUUUGCACCAGCUACCGAUAUACUUUGUAGUGUCCCUGGGAUGCUAUGGUCUAUUAAUAGUUUGAAUUAGUCUAAUGCAGUUCCUACCUGUCCUACAGAUGCAUUCUCUUGCAGCAUGGACUUUCUUUACCCUUUUCUUAAGAGCAGUUCUCUUGCAGCAUGUACUUAACCUUUUUCUUUCGUUGUUAACCUUGAAUUCUCAAAGCUUAUUAGGGUAUAAUUUAGUUCUUUGCAGAAUAUUACAGAGGCAAGCUAAGAGACUUCUUAAGCGUUAAUAGAGCAUUAACCUCUCACCUACCUAACAAUUGUAUUAUAAUAUUGUAUGUGGGAGAUGUACUUUGAGAAAUCAGGGUUAGCAAUUGGAAUUUUUAGGGCUUUAAAUAUGAGCUGAACAAGAAACUCUUCAAACACAUUAAUUUGUGUCGAUAGUUGCAUUUGUUUCUGUCUGAAACUCUGGUAAUAAUAAUAAAAACAUGCAUGGUAUGUAGAUAUAUUCGUCCAUUGAAAUAAAAAGCACAGUACUCUUUUUCACUUGAACGGAUUGUAAAUAGCGUCAUCAUUUUAUAUAUGUGCAUUACAUUUAAAAUAACCACUUCAAAUUGUACAAUAUUAUUACUAAAUUAAUAUAAAAUAUACAUGAUGUUAAUACGUUUUCUCCGGGUCUUCAUAUAUGUAGAACGUUUAUUUAUGUUAUCUACGUGCCUAACACUUAAUCGGGACCUAAAACACUUAAUAUGAUAUGCAUACUGUUUUAUCUUUGUAAUCAAAAAUUUCCCAUAAACACUUAUCCCACAUUAAUUUAUACUAUCAAUUACUUGCCCCUACAAUUUAUACACAAAAUUCAACUUUACCACUAUAUUCCUAAUCAAAAAUAUUUUACUCAAUACUACAAUGAAAUUCUUAAACACAAACUAUAUACAUAGAUACAAAUAUCUCUUACAUAUUAACAAAAGAUUACACAUGUGAAUGUUUGUGUAUUGCUUUAUCUUUGUAAUCAAAAUAUUCCCACAAACCCUUAUCCCACAUUAAUCUAUACUAUCAAUUACUUGCCUUGGAAUUUAUACAACAGAUUUAACUCUACUACUAUAUUCCUAAUCAAAAAUAUUAUAUUCAAUACUACAAUAAAAUUCGUGUCAAACAAACUAUAUACAUAGAUACAAAUAUCUCUUACAUAUUAAGAAAACAUUCCACCCGGGCGAAGCGCACCUGUUGAUAAACGUAGAAAUUAUUUUCGAAUUUAUGAGUUUAUAACUAUGAUAAAAAAAAAACAAGAAGAGCAAAAAUGAUGAUUUUAUGCAGCCUCAUAAAAAAGCUCUUGAUAAACGUAGAAAUUAUUUGUUGAUGGUGAGUUUGGCUAUAACCAGGAUAACAAAAGAAAGAGAGCAAAAUUAAUGAUUUUCUCCUGUUUGACGAAAGAGCUCUUGAUAAAUGUAUAAAUCAUUUGCUAAUUGAAGAGUUUUGCUAUAACCAUUAUAACGAAAAACAAUGAACAAAAUUGACAGUUUUCUACAACUUUAUAAAAAUGUCCUUGACAACCUUAAAUAUCAUUUGCUGGUUGAUGAGUUUGGUUAUAACCAUGAUAUAAAAAAAAGAAGUUGAUGGGUUUCUGCAAUGUAAUGAAAGAGCCCUUGAUAAACGUAAAAAUUAUUUGCUGAUUAAUUAGUGUGGCUAUAACCAUGAUAACAAAACAAGAGAACCAGAAUUGACGGCUCCGAUGAAAGAGAACUUGAUAAAUAGAAAUCAUUUGCAGGUUGACGAGUUUGGCUGUAACAAUAAAAACAAAAAAACAAUGAACAAAAUUGACGGUUUUCUGCAAGCUCAUGAAAAAGAACUUGAUAAACGUAAAAAUUAUUUGCUCAUUGAUGUGUUUGGCUAUAACCAUGAUAACAAAACAAGAGAAGAAGAAUUGACGGUUUUCUAUAAUCUAAUGAAAGAGAUCUUAAUAAACCUAGAAAUUAUUUGCUGAUUGAUGCGUUUGGCUAUAACAAUAAUAACAAAAACUGAGCAAAAUUGACGGUUUCUGCAUCCUCACGAAAAAACUAUUGACAAACGUAGAAAUCAUUUGCUAAUUAUGAGUUUGACUAUAACCAUGAUAACAAAAAAAGAGGAGAAGAUUUGAUUGUUUUUCCGUAGUCUCAUGAAAGAGCUCUUGAUAAACGUAGAAAUCGUUUGCUGAUUGAAACGUUUUGCUAUAACCAUUAUAACGAAAAAAUGAGCAAAAUUGAUAAGUUUCUACAACAUGAUAAAAGAGCUCUUGAUAAACGUAGAAAACAUUUGCUGUUUGAUGAGAUAUGAUAUAACCAUGAUAACAAAAAAUGAGUGAAACUAACGAUUUUUUUACAGCCUAAUGAAACACCUGUUGAUAAACGUAAAAAUUAUUUUCUGAUUUAUUAGUUUAUAACUAUGAUAAAAAAAAAAAACAAGAAGAGCAAAAAUGUGGUUUUAUGCAGCCUCAUGAAAAAGUUCUUGAUAAAUGUAGAAAUCAUUUGUUGAUGGUGAGUUUGGCUAUAACCGGGAUAACAAAAAAAAAGAACAAAAUUGACGAUUUUUUUUUGUUUGANNNNNNNNNNNNNNNNNNNNNNNNNNNNNNNNNNNNNNNNNNNNNNNNNNNNNNNNNNNNNNNNNNNNNNNNNNNNNNNNNNNNNNNNNNNNNNNNNNNNAAAAAAGGGAAAUCCCGUAAAAAAAAAAAAAAAAAAAAAAAAAAAAAAAUUCAAAUUUUUCCCCGACAACUAAGCUGGCACCUCUCAAUCAAUUCUGCUUUUUUUCUAUGAACCUUCGAUCACAUAUGAUCGUUGGCUUUUGCAGAAACUAAUUGUACCUGUUGACCUUUGGAAAGCAAUCAGAGACAGACAAUUUGUCAAUAUUUUAUCUUCCAUUGUGGUUUUUGAUCUC